UGCUCUGUGCGUUAUUUGCUAUGUUUUACUUACAUGCAUUCUUGUGUACGAUGAAAAUGUUAAUUUAAAGGUGUUUUGGUUUGGUUGUUUCAUGUCUUAGUAGGUGAAAAUAUUGCUUCCUUGACUUCUUAACAAUUAGUAUUUUARAAUAGAAGGACAAAAGUUGGUAUUUGUUUUGAAAUAAAUACUCCCCUAUGUGCACGCUGCAUUUGGCAUUCAUAGUAAUGGAAUACAAAAGGGUAUGAGUUGAGUCACUUCAUUCCAGCACAGUUCGUAAUUUUAAGAAUAUACACCUAGCAAAAAAGAUCUAAAUUGUAUGCAAUUACUUUGAACUCUACACCAAGAAGCGUGUUUUCAAUAGGCAGGUUUUAAGUAGAGUCUGUGCAUCAGUUAAGAAGGGAUUCUUUUCAUUUUUUGUCUACUUGUUCCAUUGACUUUUAAGCACUGAUUAUACAUAGAAAUGUCACCAGCUUCUUACUGUUUUGGGCUCAGUGUCUUGUAACUCAGUAAAAUGUGGUUUUCAUUGAAAAAAUUGAAGGAAGAAUGGGAAAAAUUGCCUCAGAUAAUCCAUUUCUGCGCCUCUGAAACAAGCAAAUCCCCCAAUGUUAUUUUAAUUCGGAAAAUUAUUCUACUAAUUGUUGUAAUUCUCUUUUGUAACUUGAGGAAGAAGAGAGCUGAACUSUUGGAAGAUGAAGAUUGUUUGGGGAAUUCAUACAAACGCGCUGGCAUAUUCCAUGACUACCUUAGGUGCUGGAAUGAUGAACAGUGUCUUUAAUUUCUACUACGUUAAGCUUUUCCUAAACCGAUACAAAAUUUCAGAAGCAGCAUUGCAUGUAGCACAGGUUGUGUUCAUGAUCUGGAAUGCCAUCAACGAUCCUCUUUUUGGGUACAUUCAAGACAACUCCAGUCUGAAGUGCUGCGCGAGGCGCCAGUUCUCCAUCCUGUACGGAGCCCCUCUGUACGGGCUGGCYUUCCUGCUGCCCUGGUUCCCCUGGAGGCACUAUGAGGAGGGGGACUGGCUCAGUGGGCUGCACCUCAYGGUGGCUCUGUGCACCUUCGAUGGAUUGCUGACCUUCGUGCUGCUGGCGCAGUGCGCGCUCUUCACCGAGAGCUCCAGCAGGCACGAGAGCAGGCUGCAGCUCAUCAGGUACAACCAGGUGGCCACGCUCCUGGGCUCCAGCAGCGUGCUCUUCUGUGGGCUCGUGUCGGAUAACAUGGAAAACUUGGCCUAUUUCCAGGCUUUCGCUGUUGUGAUCGCGGCGUUAGCGACGGCGUGCAUGUGUUACACGGGGAAAUACAGCACCACGCAGUAUGAGCAGAGAGAAAUCUAUACAGACACUGCYAAUCUGGACAGCACUGAUGGAGCUUUCUCCUGGGCUUCGGUAGUUUCAUUGACCAAACAGAUCAUGACAGAGAAGAACUUUUUAUGUUUUGUAACAAUGAACUUCUUCCAAGUCUUCCACCUAGCCUUCUGCAACAAUUUUAUGAUGAUCUUUGCGGAUAAUCUUAUCCCUAAGGAUGUCCUUCCUUCCUCARUAAGAAGUAUCAUGUAUGGAGCAGGUUUUAUUUGUCCUCAGUGCCUUGUUCUUCUCAGUCAUGCUUCAUUGAAGAAGUUUGGUUAUUACAGAAUCAUCUUGUUUUCCUUUUACUACGAAGGAGUAGCUGCUGCUGUCAUGUGUCUUCUCGGGCAAGAGCACUAUUAUCUGUUGGCAUUUUAUCUCACAACAAACAUGGUAAUUGUACAAGCUUCAUUUAGCUUGUUCAAUUUGCCUUUGGCAGAUAUCGUUGAUGCAGAUUUAAUAAAGCACAAGAGGAGAUUACCACUUUCCUCCAUGGUUUUUGGAACCAAUGCUUUAUUUACCAAGCCUGCCCAAUCUUUGGCUCCAAUGGUUGUGGUUACAAUACUAAAUCAUUAUGGAUAUAAGAACCUGAAUAAUGUACCUGGUCAUCCUGAUAUAAGGUCAUUUUUAGAUCUCCAUGAUGCCAUGUUCUACCUGAUCUGUCUGGUUCCCCUGUGCAUUGCAGUCCUGCAGAUCCUCAGCUGGACUCACUUUUCCAUCCAGAACAGCCACCUGUUCUGAACACACAGCCACUGCUCACUCCAUCUCCUCUCAACCACCAAAGAGUUCGUGAGUUUUUCAUGUGAGAAAACAAAACUGCAAGAUGAAACACAGUUUGAGCUGUUUCAGUAAAGUUGCAUUUUCAGUCUGUAUAGACUAUAAAUCACAUUCAGCCUUCAUGCUGAGCCUACRUGAGUUUUUCCUAGUUUGGUUGCUUUCUGUCAAUGGGUUUUAUCCUUAAUUACUUUAUUUAAAGUAAUUUCUGGUAUAUAAUGAUUCCUGUUAAUUCACUUGAAGAAAGGAUAUGGCAGAUCAGGCAAAGGAAUCCCAACCCAGCUCCUGGAAUUGAAGGGAACUGUAUUUUCUUAAGCUUUCUGGUGGACUAAUUUUGCYUACUGAUAAAAUGGCAGAUCUCUGAAGUUAAUCUGGAAUAUCCUGGUGGACAUUCUUCAUGCAUGGCAGGGAGAUGAAGAGAAAAAUUUAGAUGGUGUCUUGCUGGCCAGUAUCAAGAGAAAUCUGACAGCCACCAUGAGAAGAAAUUCUGUGUAAGGCUAAAGAAGAAAAAGAUUAAAAUGCUGUUCAGUGGUGCUGAAUAUGGAAAAAGCUCCGUAACUCCUCACUGUGAAUGUCACUGGUUGGUGGAAGGCAAAUACAAUUUUAGAAGCACCUUUCUUAGGCAGUGCCAGUCCCUAAGAGUACAGGAGCGUUGUGUGGAUCCCAUUUUAGAGGACUGAGGCAGUUUCUUUUCAAGGCUCUGCACUUCCUGUGACAGGUAACUUGGAAAAGAAAGCAGUGUAAGAAAUGGCUCUGCAYUUUGGUGGACACUGGAAUGGUUUAAUGAAGGAGUUUGAGAUUUGAAAUGCCACAGUUGAAUACUCAUUUGUGCCUCUGUUUUUACAUUUGCAGGGUAAAAAUAACAUAAUUUCCUUGCCUUUUUUGAAGYGUGAAGCGCUUUCAAGGCGAUGAGUGAAAUAGUGGGAGAGCAUCAUUAAAUAUUUAGAAAUCCAAAUGAAUCCUUUGAUAGGAAUAUGAAGAUUUAUGUUCAAAUGUAAGAAGCCAGAAYUGUGGUGAAGUUUGA